rnacentral:rRNA from 1 species
UACGAAGGGGGCUAGCGUUGCUCGGAAUCAUUGGGCGUAAAGCGCACGUAGGCGGCUUUUUAAGUCAGGGGUGAAAUCCUGGAGCUCAACUCCAGAACUGCCUUUGAUGCUGAGAAGCUUGAGUCCGGGAGAGGUGAGUGGAACUGCGAGUGUAGAGGUGAAAUUCGUAGAUAUUCGCAAGAACACCAGUGGCGAAGGCGGCUCACUGGCCCGGUACUGACGCUGAGGUGCGAAAGCGUGGGGAGCAAACAGG